rnacentral:rRNA from 1 species
AGAGUUUGAUUAUGGCUCAGGAUUAACGCUGGCGGCGUGCCUAACACAUGCAAGUCGAACGAAAUAUCUUCGGAUAUUUAGUGGCGAACGGGUGAGUAAUGUACAGGUAAUGUACCUUCGUACUGCGAAUAACAAGCUGAAAAGUUUGCUAAUACGGAAUAGUUUCCUUCGAGGGCAUCCUUAAAGGAAUAAAGAUUUAUCGUGCGGAGAUCAGCCUGUAUCCUAUUAGUUAGUUGGUGGGGUAAUGGCCUACCAAGACGACGAUGGGUAACUGGUCUGAGAGGAUGAGCAGUCACAUUGGAAUUGAGAAACGGUCCAAACUCCUACGGGAGGCAGCAGUGAGGAAUUUUGCGCAAGUGGGGGAAACCCUGAACCGCAGCAACGCCGCGUGAGUGAUGACGGCCUUCGGGUUGUAAAGCUCCGUCGUGUGUGACGAGUAGGGACGGUAACACACAAGGAAGCCUCGGCUAACUACGUGCCAGCAGCCGC